rnacentral:rRNA from 1 species
GCCUGCCCGGUGACUAUAUGUUAAACGGCCGCGGUAUACUGACCGUGCCAAGGUAGCGCAAUCACUUGCCCUUUAAAUGGGGGCCCGUAUGAAUGGCAUCACGAGGGCUAAUCUGUCUCCUUUUUCCAGUCGAUGAAAUUGAUCUCCCCGUGCAGAAGCGGGGAUAAACCCAUAAGACGAGAAGACCCUGUGGAGCUUUAGAUACUAAGGCUGCUCCUCUUAACAUGUUCAAGAUAAAGACAUCUAAAUAAGGAAUACAGCCCGACUAUCUUUGGUUGGGGCGACCGCGGGGAUUAAAAGAACCCCCACGUGGACCGGGGACAAAACCUUACCCUUGUUCCUACAAUCAAGAGUUACCACUCUAAAUAACAGAAUUUCUGACCAAAAGUGAUCCGACAAAGUCGAUCAACGGACCGAGUUACCCCAGGGAUAACAGCGCAAUCUCCUUCAAGAGUUCUUAUCGACAAGGGGGUUUACGACCUCGAUGUUGGAUCAGGACAUCCUAUUGGCGUAGAAGCUAUUAAGGGUUCGUUUGUUCAACG